rnacentral:lncRNA from 1 species
CUGUUUGUCUAGCCCCAUGUCAUUAUUCCCUGCCAUUUGGACGUCCUCAUCUUGUUCUUCACUUAUCCAAUGAGUAUAGCCAUCCAUGAAACCAUUUAUCAGCAGGUGCGCCUUCAAAGUGCCAUGAUCAAAAGGGUCAAAAAGGACUCCUUCCUUGCAUCUUGCACACGGACAUCUAAUCCUAGUUCGAUUAUUUGCAUGCAUGUCCAUCACCGCGGAUUGCAUGUACCGCUCCACCUUCCAUCCACUCACCUUCAUGACUGACUGCACGGUAUAAAAAGCAAAAGGGUUAUAAAAUAAAUAAUGCAUGCAUGCUUCAAAGUCAUAUA